rnacentral:rRNA from 1 species
UCGGGAAUAUUGCGCAAUGGAGGAAACUCUGACGCAGUGACGCCGCGUGCAGGAAGAAGGUUUUCGGAUUGUAAACUGCUUUAGACAGGGAAGAAAAAGGACAGUACCUGUAGAAUAAGCUCCGGCUAACUACGUGCCAGCAGCCGCGGUAAUACGUAGGGAGCAAGCGUUAUCCGGAUUUAUUGGGUGUAAAGGGUGCGUAGACGGGAAGUCAAGUUAGUUGUGAAAUCCCUCGGCUCAACUGAGGAACUGUAACUAAACUAACUUUCUUGAGUGCUGGAGAGGAAAGUGGAAUUCCUAGUGUAGCGGUGAAAUGCGUAGAUAUUAGGAGGAACACCAGUGGCGAAGGCGACUUUCUGGACAGUAACUGACGUUGAGGCACGAAAGUGUGGGGAGCAAACAGGAUUAGAUACC